ACCUGGCUGGCUCAGUCAGUAGAGCAUGUGACUCUUAAUCUCAGGGUCAUGAUUUCGAGCCCCAUGUUGGGUG
rnacentral:tRNA from 2 species